rnacentral:ncRNA from 2 species
GGCAAGAUCAAGGGGAGCUCUGACAGGGAGCUGAGAGUCUGCUGAUUUGCUGGUUAGUUUUUCCCGGCAAGGCGCGGUUACCCUUCGAACCUGAUCCAGAUAAACUUGGCGGAGGGAUGGUAUGCCAUCUGAUU